AGGUCUUCGGACGCUGACGAGUGGCGAACGGGUGAGUAAUACAUCGGAACGUGCCCAGUCGUGGGGGAUAACUACUCGAAAGAGUAGCUAAUACCGCAUACGAUCUGAGGAUGAAAGCGGGGGACCUUCGGGCCUCGCGCGAUUGGAGCGGCCGAUGGCAGAUUAGGUAGUUGGUGGGAUAAAAGCUUACCAAGCCGACGAUCUGUAGCUGGUCUGAGAGGACGACCAGCCACACUGGGACUGAGACACGGCCCAGACUCCUACGGGAGGCAGCAGUGGGGAAUUUUGGACAAUGGGCGAAAGCCUGAUCCAGCAAUGCCGCGUGCAGGAUGAAGGCCUUCGGGUUGUAAACUGCUUUUGUACGGAACGAAAAAGCUCCUUCUAAUACAGGGGGCCCAUGACGGUACCGUAAGAAUAAGCACCGGCUAACUACGUGCCAGCAGCCGCGGUAAUACGUAGGGUGCGAGCGUUAAUCGGAAUUACUGGGCGUAAAGCGUGCGCAGGCGGUUAUGUAAGACAGAUGUG
rnacentral:rRNA from 1 species